rnacentral:tRNA from 2 species
GCCAGUGUGAUGGAAUUGGUAGACAUGACGGAUUCAAAAUCCGUUGCCUUCGGGCGUGGCGGUUCGAGUCCGCCCACUGGUACCA